rnacentral:rRNA from 1 species
AAUGAACGCUGGCGGCAUGCCUAACACAUGCAAGUCGAACGAGAACAUCGGGUCUAGUGGCGCCCGGGUGCGUAACGGGUGGGAACCUGCCCUUAGGUUCGGAAUAACUCUCCGAAAGGGGUGCUAACACCGGAUAAUAUCUUCGGACCAAUGAUUUAUCGCCCAGGGGUGGGCCCGAGUUGGAUUAGCUUUUUGGUAGGGUAAAAGCCUACCAAGGCGGCGAUCCAUCGCUGGUUUGAGAGGAUGAUCAGCCACACUGCGACAGGGACACGUCCCGGACUCCGACGGAAGGGAGCAGUCGGGAAGAAGGAACGCCGGGCGAAAGACGAAGCCAGCCGGGCCGUGAGAGUCUUUAAGGCGUUAGGGUUGUAAAGCUCUUUUACCCGGGAUGUUAAGGAGAGUACCGAGAGAAUAGGCUCGGCCUAACUCCGU